UACGGAGGGGGCUAGCGUUGUUCGGAAUUACUGGGCGUAAAGCGCACGUAGGCGGCUUUGUAAGUUAGAGGUGAAAUCCCGGGGCUCAACUCCGGAAUUGCCUUUAAGACUGCAUCGCUAGAAUUGUGGAGAGGUAAGUGGAAUUCCGAGUGUAGAGGUGAAAUUCGUAGAUAUUCGGAAGAACACCAGUGGCGAAGGCGACUUACUGGACACAUAUUGACGCUGAGGUGCGAAAGCGUGGGGAGCAAACAGG
rnacentral:rRNA from 1 species